UCUCUUGCAGGGUCAGAUCCUUCAGAUAUAAUUUAGCGAAACCAUCUGGGUGUACCUGAGGAUUGCGGGGUCUUGAGGCCUCUGGCCUGAGGAGGAGCCCGGGCAAACGCUAACUUCCGGGAUUUUAGUAUUAGGAGCAGUAGGUGGUUGGUGACUUUGUUCCUUUCCACCCGACCUUUAGUCACACGAUAGAAUUUAAGAGUCGUAGCAGAGACUCAACACACUUUGUUUUUUGAGACAGGGCCUUACUAUGUUACCCUGGCUGGCCUUGAACUCAGGUCUGCCUCUGCCUCCCAAGUGCUGGGACUGAAGGCGUGUGCCACCACCAUGCCCGGCUUGCCCUUUCUUUUUCGUUUUUUCAAGACAGGGUAUCUUUGUGUAGCCUUGGCUAUCCCAAAACUAGCUCUGUAGACCAGGCUGGCCUUGAAGUCACAGAUCCUCCUGCCUCUGCCUCCUGAGUGCUGGGACUGGAGUAUGCGCCCUGACUGCCCAGCUCAGCCUUUCUUAUAGAACCCAGGACCAGCAGCCCAGGGAUGGCACCACCACAGUGGGCUGGGCCCUCCCCCAUCAAUCGCCCUAUCUUAACAAAGAAGAAAGUUCUUCUCGUAAAAGAAAAUGCUUUACGGCCAGAUCUAAUGGAGGCAUUUUCUCAACUGAGGCUCCUCUUUUGUGGUAACUCUAGUUUGUGUGUCAAGGUGACACAGCAGCCAGCACACACAGUCCCAGGCCUCGGCAUGGGCAGCCCCUGCUACUCAGAACACCUGUCUCCUACCCCGCCCCGGCUUCCUGCUCAUUCACUCACUGUUGACCUGGCAUUUCCUAUGUGGUCACUGUUUAGACUCAGGCACUGAUAAAAACUCCAUCCUGCCUCUCCUCUAGGGGAGACCGAAAACAAAAGCGAGCUGGAGAGAGUGGUGCACGCCUGCAACCCUAGCCCUGGGGAGGUGGGAGGAGGAGGGGGUUUAAGGCCAUCCUUGGCUACAUAGCAAGUGCAGGUCCAGCCUGGGCUACGCGAGACCUUCUUAGGAGCCAGAUGAUCCAAGGCUUUCUCAGAGGCCCGGAUGAAAAAGCCAAGUAAAUGUUGGUUCUGUCUGCGUCACAGUGAGCAGACUCGGCAGAGUCGGAGGCUGGGGCCCGGCCUUGAAGGAGCGAGGGUCCUGCUGUCUGCUCUGGGUUGUGGCUAUCGGCCCUUGGAUGAAUGGUGCGCGUGGGAGGAGUCACCCCGUGUUCGGUUUGCCCACACUGUCCUGCGUGGCCGGUCCCACCACACUAGCACUGAGAUGCUGUGUUUGUCCUAAGCUCUGGCAUAAGCCAUCAACUUACACAGACCUCCCGGUCCCAGCUAGGAGUCUCGCCCCUUAACACCUGGCCACUCAGGACCUUUAUUUCUGUGGGAGGGUCAAACUCAGCCACUGGCCUGGUCAGCACCUUCCUUACAUGCCGAGUGUCUCUCCAGCCCUGGACCUGGGAUUUUUAACCCAAUCCUGCCUUAAAGGUUUUUUUUCUCUUCCUGUUGUUUCCUUUCCUCCUUCCCGUCCUUCCCAGUCUCUAGUUCAAGCUGGCCUCAAGCUCACUGAGGAUGACCUUGAACUCAUCUCCCUGCCUGCGGCUGGAGGGACCUGGAUUACGGCAGGAUCUUACUGCCACUUCAGAUGCGAAGACACAGAAGGGCCUGGCCCAGGAGGAGGCAUCAGCUUAACCCCUUCUGGUUAGUCACUCCAUGAUAAAAUGUGCGCCUCAGUCUGUAACUUCUUUUUCUUUUCCUGAUGUGCUCUCACUCUGUAGCCCAGGCUGGCCUCAAAUUUACAGAGCUCCACCUGCCCGUGUGCCCUGGGAUUAAAGGCGUGACGCACCACGGC